rnacentral:lncRNA from 1 species
UAAAUGCAGGGGAACUUGAAGACAAUAGUUAAGUGGAUUGAAGAUAAAAGUAACAGAUAUAAUUAAGAAGUGCUACAAGUGUUCUGUCAUGUGAAAUGGAAUUAACACCAACUGUGCUGCUUCAUGUAUCUUUAAAAGUGUGAGACAAACAUGCACAAGCUGUAAACUGAGAUGGACCCAAACAUGAAAUAUUAUGUUGACUUUCCUAUGUUUUAUCAUCUAUACAGGAUAUGUGUAUGAGAAGACUAUAUACAUAUAUUAUAAAAUAAUUUUAUUUUAUUUCCAUUAUGGCCUGCAUGUAAGAAGCAACUAUUUAUUUACCAGUUACGUUAAUAGAAAUGUUAAAUUUUGAUAAAUCUAAUUUAAAGAAUAACCUUUUGUUAGACUUUAUAAGUUUAAAAUUAUGUGCCUGUGAUAUAUUUAUGAGGCAAACAAUUAUAUACCAUAGAGUAAUUAUUUCAUUUUGUUAAGUAAAUUUAAUUGAACCCUUAAAGCCAAAAUGAGGCAUAUUAAUUUUAGAUGAAUAGGAUAUUAAGUAAAAUUGAAGUUUGACAUUUUUAUUAAAUAUCUAUUAAUAAUUUUGUCAGUCUGAACCAAACUGCUUAAAGCUUUGAUGAGAAAUACUGAGGUAAUUUUUAUUAUUUUUACAACACAAAUUUCUGAGUGAAAAUUCUAAAGACCAAGAAUCCAUUUUUUAAAGAUAGAAUGUAUUGUCAGUGGACAACUUCCCAACACAUCUAAAACUUUACUAAAAUCAGAUUGACAACAUUUUGAGUUGUAAUACUGCCAAGAUGGUAUUUUUGUUCUAUGAGAGUUUCUACAAGAGAGAGUAUUUGUAUUAUACUUAAUAUGUGAUCAGGUAUUAUAACAAACAUAAUAUUUCUGAUGAUUUUGAGAUCAGUAGGUCAAAGCAAAGGUCAAGGUCACAGAGACCUGGAACAAUUAAAUAGUGUCUGGAUGAUAGGUUAACAAUGAUUGGGCCAUUAGUAUCACGAAAGUUGAUAGGGAGGCUUGUAAUGGGCAGCAGAAGAGCCCUUAGUAUUGCUUUUGAGGUCAGUAGAUUAAAGGUCAAGGUCACCGUGACCCUGAACAAUUAAACUGUUUCUUUAUGUGAGCUUGAGAACGCUUGGGCCUAGGAUCACAAAACUUGAUAGUGAUAGGUAAAUUGAU